CGAAAUCUCACAAAAUCUCACGAGAAUAGCAAGGACUUCCUGGAGUUCCGCGGCUGGAGAGAGCGCCGUCGCUGCCGCCGUUGCCGACGAUGAAAACAGUACUAUAAAGAAACCACAACAGAAGAGUUCAGGAGAAAUUCACAGAGCAGAGCAUGGAAACAUCACUAAGAAUAAUAAUAUGCUGCUUCUUUACAUGCAGCCAAACACUGAGGGCACUUCUAGACAGCAGGAAAUUGCAGGCAAAAAUGGAUUAAAGAAAUCCCUCCCCCCUCCCCUUCUCCUCAUGUGCCAUUUUGGUGAGCCAGAAGAACCUCCAAGUCGGCUCCGUGUCUGGCAGCAGCUUUAGUGGAUUAGAUAAUCAAUAGGAAGUAGAAUGGAGAGAAGAAAACCAAUAAAAUGAAGACUUAAAAGAGAAGAUUUGUGCAAAUUUUACAAAUGAAGAAAUAUCAGAACUAAAGGGAAAAGGAAAACUUCCAAAUCAGGAAUUCUCUACAGUAUUGAUCCCAUUUUUAAGUAAGUAGAAUAUAUCUGUGAAAAAGCAGGAUUGUGAACAACUGGUACACAUUCCAGCCGGUGUUAGCAUUCAGACUGCAUCUUCUCAAGAAAAACAUCUCCUUUUGUGUUUUACAAGCUAUUAUUAUUCUUUUCACUCACAAAUUUGAGCCACAAGCUGUGGGAUAGUAUGUUGCAAAAAGCAGGAGAGGCUGCAGUAAUUUACUUUUACUUGAGACCACUGGGAAGUUUCCAUUUCCUCCUUCCUCCCUUCUGCUCAAUUUGCACUUUGAACCAAUUGUUAGUCCUUCGAAGUUUUGAGAUUGUGGAAUGCUUUUUCUUGGUCCUUUCAUUGCUCCAGGAUCUUAUGUCUGAAAAAAUCCAUGAGAAGGCCUUCUCAGUGGCUGAUUCCAAUGAGUGAAAUUCUCUUCCACAUGAGGUUAGCUCUUAUCCCCUCCAUACAGUCCUACCACUGGUGACAUUUUAUUUUUUCAUUUAAACUGGCUUUAGAUGAUUCACUGGUUGUGCUAAGGAUCUUUUAAUAAUAGGCAAGUGCUUUUCAUUCUUUUCAAUGUUAUGUUUUUAAAUACUUGCAUAUAGUUUUAAGAAGCCCCCGGUGGUGAAGCGGGUUAAACCGCUGAACUGCUGAACUUGCAGACUGAAAGGACCAAGGUAAACUCCCGCUAUUAGCCCCAGCUUCUGCCAACCUAGCAGUUCAAAAACAUGCAAAUCUGAGUAGAUCAAUAGGUACUGCUUCGGUGGGAAGGUAACGGCACUCCAUGCAGUCAUGCCAGCCACAUGACCUUGGAGGUGUCUACCAACAACACCGUCUCUUUGGCUUAGAGAUGAGCACUAGCCCUCAGAGUCAGACCCGACUAGACUUAAUGUCAGGAAAAAAACCAUUACCUGUAUUAUAAAAUUUUAAAUUAGUAUUUUUAAUCUAAUUCGGUCUUUUUAACUUUUUAUCACAUUUUAAAGCUGUACUUUGUUUUAAUAUAUGCUGUGAACCCUAAAUCAAAAACCCAUAAUAUCCCACCCCAUUAUAUUAGAGUUCACAGUUGGGUUUUUUGUGUUUUUUCUUUUAAUUUUAAUUGAAUGUGAAAAAUUCAAUAAAAUUAAUUUUUAAAAGUGAGUGUUGCUUUCAAAAAAAAUAUGCUGUGAGCCAUCUGGGUCCCUAUUGGGACAAUGAAAUGAUAUUAAUUGAUCUAUUGAUUUAAUUGUCACAACAUAUUAGUUUCCUCUAUUAAGUUAUAAUAAUUAAGCAAUUCAGUUAUGUCUUAAUAUUGCUAAAGAGAAGUAGAUUUAAUCUGAAGUGGAAUAUUGAUUUAAUUGCCUAUCACCAAUUUAGAAACUAAAGACUAGAAAGAGUCAACAAAAACUAUUGAUAUCUCAUCUUCCCAUGAUAAUAAGGCCCAGUGUUAGUAUGCUUCCGCAUGGAUGAGAAAUACAGUUUGAUGCAGGUUUACAUUGGACUGCUGGGCGCUGAACAAUUUGCUUGUACACUGGUGGGUCCCUCCCCCCCCCCCCCCCAGACUCACAGUUCCUUGUUGCUUUGAUGACACCCAACUCUAUUACUCCUUUCCACCAAAAGCCAAGAAUGCCAUUCUGGACCUGAACCUGUGCCUGUCAUCAGAAAGGGACUAGAUGAGGACCAACAAGGUGAAACUAAAUCCAGACAAGAUAGAGGUACUCCUGGUCAGUUGCAAGGCAGAACAGCAUAUAGGGUUACAGCCUGUGCUGGAUGGGGUCAUACUCCCUCUGAAGGCACAGGUUCAAAGUCUGGGGGUGAUCCUGGACUCAUCACUGACCCUGUAACUUUAGGUGUUGGCAGUGGCCUCCUUCACACAAUUAAACUUGUGCACCAGCUGCCCCCCGUACCUUGAGGUGCCUGACUUGGCCAUGGUAGUCCAUGCCUUAGUUAUAUCCCAUUUGAACUACUGUUCCAUCUAUGUGGGGCUGCCUUUGAAGAUAGUUCGGAAGCUACAGAUAGUUCAGAGAAUGGCAGCCAGGUUACUAACUGGGGCUCUGUACAGGGAGAGAAACACUCCCGUGUUACGGCAGCUUCACUUGUUGCCAGUCCGCUUUCAAACUAAAUGCAAAGUGCUGGUCAUUACCUAUAAAGCCCUAAAUGGUUCAGGUCCAGGGUAUUUGUCUAACCGCAUCUCCCUAUAUAGAGCAUCUGGUACACUACAGUCAGGGGAGGAGGUCCUACUCUCAGUCUCACCCCCAUCAAAAACACAGUUGGUGGGAACGAGAGAGGGGGACAUUUCCGUGAUCGCUCCCCACCUCUGGAACUCCCUCCCUAAAGAAAUAAAAAUGGCCCCCACCCUCCUCUCCUUCAAAAAACUUUUGAAAACACACUUAUGUACCUUACCAUAUAGAGAAGAGGAGGACUAGCAUGUUCUAAUUAGCACUUUAUGGCUGUUACAGCUAGCACUUUAUGGUUAUUAUGGCCACUAUGGCUUGUAUUGGUAUAACAAUUGAUGUUAGGCACUUUUUAAAUUCUAGUAGUUUCUGUUUUAGGAUACAUGUUGCUGUGCAAUUAUAUUUUAUUAGUGCAAACAUGUUUUAAUUAAAUAUUUGUACUUCUUAUUAUGCUUAAUUUUAAUUCUCCGUGAUAAUAAAUUCUUUAAUGCUCA